AUAUUUCCACGUAAUGAAUGCAUAGGUCAUUGCUGUCAUCUUACUGUACUGUGGUGUCAACAUUUCUAAGUGUCCAUAGAACUUCUCUGGGCCUGAAUAUAUGAUCCAUUUUUAUAAAGCAUUUGUGUACUCUCAAGAAAUGUAUUUUUACUCUAUCACUUCUAUUUGUGAACUCAGUUUUUAAAUUACUGUAUUCAAAUUCACACCUUCUCUGUUGCUUACUUUACAAGUUCUUAACCUGGGGUCUGCAGAUUGCCUAGGAGUCCAUGAGCAUGCAGAUCUAUUUUGGAGGUUGUGUAGAGGGAUCAAACAAAGCUGUGUGGUUAUGUACAUGAAUGAAUUGCUUGGGGCUGGGCGUGGGGUGGGGUAUCUGUAGCAUUCACGACAUUUUGGAAAGGCUCUGUGACCCCAAAAUAGUUAAGAACACUCAUUGGCCUGGUCAAAUCAUGGUCUGAUGUGUUUCUUACCCUACCUAUUUCUGUUUCACUUUGUUUCUAUUUUAUGUAUGUCCUUGUAAUAUUAGAUGUACAGUUCUCUCCAAUCCUUUUUGAGAAGUAGGCAGGGUAUCACUAAGUACCAUGAUAUUUGGAACAUAUA
rnacentral:lncRNA from 1 species